CUCCGAGUGUUUGACACAUUAGGAAUAAGAUGGAAAAAUUGAGAGGAAGAAAAUGUUGGGGACUGAGAGUUGUGGAAUCACAAUUUGUGACAUCAGGUGUUUUUUUGAUAAGCAGCCAUUUCUGAUUCCGGAAGAUUAAGGCAGAUAGGAAGCCCCUCCUGAGACUGUGAUAAAGCUCUCGAACAACAACCGACACCAUGGAUGUAAAACUGGAGCCUUCCUGGGAUGACCUGCCUCUCAUGGCCAACACCAGCCACAUACUUGUGAAGCACUAUGUACUGGAUUUAGAUGUGGAUUUCGAAAGUCAAAUCUUUGAGGGCACCAUAGUGCUUUUCUUUGAGUCUAGAAAUAGACUUGAGAAACAGAGUGAUUCCACCAAGGAAACCUGCCGAUCAGAGUCAAACGAAGCCUGCAGAUUCAGUACACCUGAACCCUGCCAUAGUCCUGUGACAGAUACAAGGACCUCCUCAUCCAAAACAGGAUAUAAUGAUUUUGCAAUCUGUGGUAAAGGUGAAAAAGAUACUUCUGGUAAAGAUGGUAACCAUGACAACCCGGAACAGGCUUCUGGGAUUUCUAGCUCAAAGUACUGCUGUGACACAGGGAAUCAUGGGAGUGAGGAUUUUUUGCUAGUUUUGGACUGCUGUGAUUUAUCUGUGUUCAAGGUCGAGGAGGUAGAUGUUGCUGCUGUGCCAGGUAUUGAAACAUUUACAGGGUCUCCCCAGAUCACAUUUGUUUCUGAGGAGCUCAGGAAUCAGAUUGUACAUGAACUUGUGACUCUGCCUGCAGAUCGUUGGAGGGAGCAGUUUGACUAUUUUGCUCACUGCAGCCAGGCUCCUGGCUGUGGGGAACUCCUGUUUGACACUGACACUUGGAGCUUACAGAUCAGGAAGACAGGGGCUCAGACAGCUACUGACUUUCCUCAUGCCAUACGGAUAUGGUACAGCACCAAACCCCAGGGGCGAUCAGUUACGUGGACCUCAGACCAGAGUGGCAGGCCAUGUGUUUAUACUAUGGGAUCUCCGAUAAACAACAGGGCUCUUUUUCCAUGCCAGGAGCCACCCGUUGCCAUGUCAACAUGGCAGGCUACAGUUGGAGCAGCUGCAUCUUUUGUUGUUUUAAUGAGUGGGGAAAAUUCUGCCAAGCCAACACAGCUUCGGGAAGGGCGUGCAAGUUGGCAUUACUAUGUAACUAUGCCGAUGCCAGCCUCUACCUUCACGAUCGCAGUGGGCUCCUGGGCAGAAAUGAAGCCAGAGAUCUGCUUGUCCGAGGAUCUGGCAGCAGAGAGAUCACUCACACCUUCCGAGGCUGACUUCAGGUGUGUUGGCGUUUGUGGUCACAUGGAAUACCCCUGCCGCUUCCAGAAUCCUUCUGCUACCACCCAGGAAGUUAUUCCUCAUCGGGUCUUUGCCCCGGUGUGCCUCCAGGGUGCCUGUCAAGAGACCCUUUUGCCACUGGUCCUUCCUUGCCUCUCAGCAGCACACUCUGUCCUGGGAACACACCCGUUCUCCAGGCUGGACAUACUCGUCGUCCCUGCCAACUUUCCAAGUCUGGGGAUGGCCAGCCCACACAUCAUUUUCCUCUCUCAGAGCGUCUUGAUAGGAAUGAACCAUCUCUGUGGGACCCGGCUCUGCCAUGAAAUCGCUCACGCCUGGUUUGGCCUAGCCAUUGGGGCCCGGGAUUGGACGGAGGAGUGGCUGAGUGAAGGGUUUGCCACUCACUUGGAAGACGUGUUCUGGGCCAAAGCGCAGCAGCUGGCCCCCCACGAGGCAUGGGAACAGCAGGAGCUGAAGGCUGAUCUGCGCUGGCGUUGCCUCCAGGAUGAGGUGCGGAACUACCCCGAGGAGAUGCAGGUGUUGAGACCCAAUAAAGAGAAAACUGGCCACGUGAGUGACUCAGGAUCAUCUGUCAUCAAACAUGGGCUCAAUCCUGAGAAGGUCUUCAUGCAGGUUCAUUAUUUAAAGGGCUAUUUCCUUCUCCGGUUUCUUGCCCAAAGACUUGGAGAUGACACCUAUUUUGCAUUUUUAAGAAAAUUUGUGCACACAUUUCAUGGGCAGUUGAUUCUUUCCCAGGAUUUCCUUCAAAUGCUGUUGGAGAACAUCCCAGAAGGAAAAAGGCUUGACUUGUCUGUGGAAAACAUCUUCCGAGACUGGCUUGAGAGUUCUGGAAUACCACAGCCGCUGCAGACGGAGCGCCAGGCCAGGGCGGAGUGCGGGCUCGCGCGGCGAGUGGGCGCCGAGGUCCACAAAUGGAUUCGAGUGAACCGGAGACCCCAAAAACGGAAACGAAGGGAGACUGAAGACGUGUUUGAAAAGCUCCUUCCAGACCAGCUUGUCUUGCUUCUGGAGCAUCUCUUAGAGCAGAAGACUCUGAACCCCCGAACUCUGCAAAGCCUCGAGAGGACAUACCAGCUCUCCCAACAGGAUGCAGAGGUUCGCCAUCGGUGGUGUGAACUCAUUGUUAAGCACAAAUACACCAAAGCGUACAAAGAUGUGGAGAGAUUCCUCCAGGAGGAUCAGGGGCUCGAGGACUCUUCCUGCCGGGGUGCCACGGACAUGCUGGUGUCCCAGCACACUGCCCUGGGAGGCUGUUCUGCAACUGUUGACACGCACACUGUGCCUCCGGAGCUACUUUCAGCCACGCAUGUUGCUGUGGCAGGCCAUGGGCAUAUACCUGUACGGGGAGCUGAUGGUGAGCGAGGAUGCCAGGCAGCAGCAGGUUGCCCGCCGGUGCUUUGAGCUGACCAAGGAGCAGAUGGAUAGAUCCUCAGCCCAGGUGGUGGCCGAGAUGCUGUUCUGAAGAGGGAUUACCACGCAUCCAUGACCUGGGCUGCUCCUCCAGAAGCCGUAGUUCUCUCUCUCUGCAGUUCGGAGAACAGAUGCAUCUUGUAGCUCUUCUCCAGAAACAGAAGAAGCAACAGCCGUGGAAGAUGCUCGGCGGCCCAUUCCUUAUGCCCAACCGACGACCUCUCUGCCGAGGUGCAGAGCUUAGCUGAUUGGUGAACAGUGACUGGUUUCCGCUUUGUUCACAGUGGCUAAGUUCUGCACCUGAAGAGAAGCCCCAGCGAGUUGCGCCGAGCUCCCAGCGGGGGCACUGCUGCCCGGGCUGAUUGGACCCGCCCUCCGGUGCCUACUGAGCUGAUAUCAGUUCUCAUUGUACACACUGGCUCAGUUCAGCAGGAACAGGAGUCGAGCCCUCGAGCAAAAAGCCUUCCCCGUCUGAAAGGUCACAGCGAGAUUCUUUUCCAUGCAUGUGCACCCAGCCCUGGUGGGACCGGGGCCGCGUAGAUGCUGGACGUCAGAGGAAGGGCACUGGGGCUGCUGAAGCCAGCAGCGUUCACGCCACAGUGCUU